UACAGAGGGGGCAAGCGUUGUUCGGAAUUAUUGGGCGUAAAGGGCGCGUAGGCGGGCUGUCAAGUCUGGGGUGAAAUCCCGCGGCUCAACCGUGGAACUGCCUUAGAUACUGACGGCCUCGAGGGAGGUAGGGGCAUGCGGAGCUGAUGGUGGAGCGGUGAAAUGCGUUGAUAUCAUCAGGAACUCCGGUGGCGAAGGCGGCGUGCUGGACCUUUUCUGACGCUGAGGCGCGAAAGCCAGGGGAGCAAACGGG
rnacentral:rRNA from 1 species